UACGAAUGGGGCAAGCGUUGUUCGGAAUUACUGGGCGUAAAGCGUGUGUAGGCGGUUUGACAAGUCAGGAGUGAAAUCCCAGGGCUCAACCCUGGAAUUGCUCUUGAAACUGUUAAGCUAGAGUCCCGGAGAGGUUAGCAGAAUUCCGAGUGUAGAGGUGAAAUUCGCAGAUAUUCGGAGGAAUACCAGUGGCGCAAGCGGCUAACUGGACGGGCACUGACGCUGAGACACGAAAGCGUGGGGAUCAAACAGG
rnacentral:rRNA from 1 species